rnacentral:rRNA from 1 species
GUGCACGCUGGCGGUAGGCCUAACACAUGCGAGUCGAACGGCAGCACAGUAAGAGCUUGCUCUUACGGGUGGCGAGUGGCGGACGGGUGAGGAAUACAUCGGAAUCUACUUUUUCGUGGGGGAUAACGUAGGGAAACUUACGCUAAUACCGCAUACGACCUACGGGUGAAAGCAGGGGAUCUUCGGACCUUGCGCGAUUGAAUGAGCCGAUGUCGGAUUAGCUAGUUGGCGGGGUAAAGGCCCACCAAGGCGACGAUCCGUAGCUGGUCUGAGAGGAUGAUCAGCCACACUGGAACUGAGACACGGUCCAGACUCCUACGGGAGGCAGCAGUGGGGAAUAUUGGACAAUGGGCGCAAGCCUGAUCCAGCCAUACCGCGUGGGUGAAGAAGGCCUUCGGGUUGUAAAGCCCUUUUGUUGGGAAAGAAAAGCAGCAGGUUAAUACCCCGCUGUUCUGACGGUACCCAAAGAAUAAGCACCGGCUAACUUCGUG